CCCUCUCAUGCUUUCUUUGCUCUCUUUUCCUAUCAGCUGGUGGAAUAUAGAGAGCUGGGAGGACCUGGUGUGGGUGUUCUCUUCAUCUCCUGGGUACACGGCUGGAUGAUAUUUCCUGGAUUUUAGUGUAGUUAGGUGUGGCCAAGCUUUGGCCAGUGGAAUUUGAACAGAAGUCACGUGUCCAAAUCCCAUGCCUGGUCUAUAAAAUCUUCCCAUCCGUAAUCUUCCUGCUUUCUUUACUCACUGAAUAGAUAAAAAUUCCAGGGACCUGGAAGAGUGUAGGGCCACAAGCUGGAAGUAGCCUAGAUCCCGAGGAACAUCAUGGAAAACAGUGCCCUCACCCCUUCCCGUGAGCCGACCAGGAGGCAACACAACUACACACUGUGUGAACUGAACCUCAGAUACCACUGGCCUGUCACCAACAGAUUUUGAAGCAAAUGAUGUGAUUGUUCACCGAUUAUCAGUGCAUCUGUUAUUUACAUAGUGAUUUGUGAACUGACAAGUUAGCAGCAGUUUCUGCUUUAUGCAAUUGUUCUGUUAAUAGACUGUGAUUGUGGUAAUUAUCUCUGGACAUUGAAAUGACCGGAUUGGGGCGUGCUCCACGGACCACUCCUGGAACACAUUGCAGAGGAGAGGAUUGUGUCUCUGGAACUCUUCUCCUUUGUAAGUUGAAUUAAUCUGAAUGAAUAAUUCUUCACUAGAAGAAACAGAUCCUGCUGAAUGAAAGCACAUAAUGGAGCCCUAGGGGUGAUCUGAGAAACAACUAUAAUUAUCUCUUCUCUGCUUACUGCCAUACUUAGGAAGGAGUCUUUGGACUAGGCAGAAAGUGAUCAAUUUCCUCUCAUAUUACCCUCAACCUGCGGCCUAUUUGUACUCCUGAUUGGAUAAAAGGGUUAAGAAGAACAAAAUGGUUGGAGAGAUUUUUGAAUUUUUAUGAUAAUUAUUUGGUGUCCCAGGAUCUACUGAAUGUCUCAAGAGAGGAACUUUUUUCCACUUCACAAAUUCUAAUUUUUGACUUGAUAAAGAAUGAUGAAUAUUUGUCACACAGAUAUUUAAAUGGAAUCAGGGCUGUAUAUAACCAUGACAUAAUACUUUGUCAAAAAGUGAAAAGUUAAUCUGGUUGAAGGUAUUUUUACCUGGCAUAUGGAGAAGAUGAUGACAAUAAUGUGGAACUUGAUUAGACAUCAACAGAGACUCAAUGCCUCCUGGAAAACACCUGAGAAAUGAUUGAAGCUCGCUCUGGUCUUGCCUGGAAUCAUGCAUAACAUUUGUUGCUGCCUGCAUGUGGAUUCAUUUUAGCAGUUUAUCAAUUUGGACAGGGAAUUUUGAAUAAAAAAUUUUGGCAGUCAUUAUAGUGACUCUUCUGAGACUGAAAAUUCAGGUAACAAGGAAAAUCAGUGACUCUUUCUCUCUGCUUUCUUCAAAACACAAAUAAUCCAAUGAUGUAUAGGCUGCAUUGCCCUUUGAUUUGUUACCUUAGAGAUCAUUACAUGUUAGUACAUAAAGAAACUUCCCAAUCUUCUUUUAUAGCAUCCAGGUACUCCAAUGUGUAAUUCAGCCAUAACUUAAUAAAAUGGACUCUGUUUGAUAAACAUUUGGAUUAUUUCAAAUAUUUUACUAUUAUAAAGAAUGUUGAA
rnacentral:lncRNA from 1 species